GACGAACGCUGGCGGCGUGCUUAACACAUGCAAGUCGAACGGAAAGGCCCUGCUUUUGUGGGGUGCUCGAGUGGCGAACGGGUGAGUAACACGUGAGUAACCUGCCCUUGACUUUGGGAUAACUUCAGGAAACUGGGGCUAAUACCGGAUAGGAGCUCCUGCUGCAUGGUGGGGGUUGGAAAGUUUCGGCGGUUGGGGAUGGACUCGCGGCUUAUCAGCUUGUUGGUGGGGUAGUGGCUUACCAAGGCUUUGACGGGUAGCCGGCCUGAGAGGGUGACCGGCCACAUUGGGACUUGGAUACGGCCCAGACUCCUACGGGAGGCAGCAGUGGGGAAUAUUGCACAAUGGGCGGAAGCCUGAUGCAGCAACGCCGCGUGCGGGAUGACGGCCUUCGGGUUGUAAACCGCUUUCGCCUGUGACGAAGCGUGAGUGACGGUAAUGGGUAAAGAAGCACCGGCUAACUACGUG
rnacentral:rRNA from 1 species